rnacentral:rRNA from 1 species
ACGGCUCAGUAACACGUGGCUGACCUACCCUUAGGACGGAGACACCCCCGGGAAACUGGGGCUAAUACCCGAUAGGUGAGGAGGCCUAGAAUGGUUCUUCGCUGAAAAGGCGUUGAAACCAUGCUUUUCAACGUCGCCUAAGGAUGGGGCCGCGCCCGAUCAGGUUGUUGGUGAGGUAACGGCUCACCAAGCCUAUAACCGGUACGGGCCGUGAGAGCGGGAGCCCGGAGAUGGGCACUGAGACAAGGGCCCAGGCCCUACGGGGCGCAGCAGUCGCGAAAACUCCGCAAUGCGCGAAAGCGUGACGGGGCUACCCCGAGUGCCGUCCGCUGAGGAUGGCUUUUCCCCGGUGUAAUGAGCCGGGGGAAUAAGGAGAGGGCAAGACUGGUGUCAGCCGCCGCGGUAAUACCAGCUCUCCGAGUAGUAGGGACGAUUAUUGGGCUUAAAGCGUCCGUAGCCGGCUUAGCAAGUCUCCUGUUAAAUUCAGCGACCUAAUCGUUGAGCCGCGGGAGAUACUACUAGGCUAGGAGGCGGGAGAGGCCGACGGUAUUCCCGGGGUAGGGGUGAAAUCCUAUAGUCCCGGGAGGACCACCAGUGGCGAAGGCUGUCGGCUAGAACGCGCUCGACGGUGAGGGACGAAAGCUGGGGGAGCGAACCGGAUUAGAUACCCGGGUAGUCCCAGCUGUAAACGAUGCGGGCUAGGUGUUGAGGUGGCUACGAGCCACUUCAGUGCCGCAGGGAAGCCAUUAAGCCCGCCGCCUGGGGGAGUACGGCCGCAAGGCUGAAACUUAAAGGAAUUGGCGGGGGAG